rnacentral:rRNA from 1 species
AUGGUCGACGGCUCCUCCAUCAAGUCCCGCAAGUUCCGCGUCGGCGGCAUCGACUGGCAGGCCGCCUACCACCCCCACGCCCGCGGCCUCUGCGUGGGCGCUGGCCUCCACCUCGCCGGGACCAACAACUCCGGCAAGAACUCCACCGCCAUGUGCCAGGUGAGCAUCCUCGACCGCGCGGGGGUGGCGGCGUUCAGCCGCCUCAUCGAGCCGCGCGACUUUCACGGGAUGAUCUACCCUGACCGGUCGUCGUGGAGCGUCGACGUGCACGACUUCGUCAAACGGGAGGAGCUCCUGAAGUGGGCGGAGGACCACGUCGACGACGACCGCCUCCGCCUCCGCUAUGAUGUCCUCGUACUCCAGAUGCAAUCAGAAUCUCCCGUCCAGGGCUACUUGAAGGACUUUUGGGAGAGACUUAAGAACUAA